UGCACAGGUUAAUUUAAAAGAUCUAGUCGAUUUAAAAUAAUCAAUCGCAACUUAUCGGGCCUUUUCAGCAGAACUCGGAAAAUCAUUUAACAGCUGGUUAAAGGAAAGGCCAGGCGUGAAGUUGGAAAAUUGUGAACAAAUUCCGGGGCAAGAAAUUGAGGAAAACGGAGAUACCUGUAUAUCUACUGUAAAAAGGGUAACAUCUGAUUUGUAACAAGAAGUGCAGGACAAAACAUGGACUUUCUGAGCGUGGCUUUGUACGUCUUGUCAUGGAUAAUGACCCUCAUAUUUCUGAGAGCAGGCUUGGUCAAAGUAACUAGUCGUUUAUUUUCAAAGGACCAUAAAGAAACGAGACAAGAGUUUGCACAAUAUGCUAAUGUGUGCCCCACUGUAUUAUUUGGAAUCACACUUUCACCAGAUGGAUACAUGCUUUUGGUCGGAGUCAUCGAGACGCUUGCCUCUAUCCUGCUUUUGGUGCCUUAUACCGAUUUGCAUACUUGGAUGUAUUUAGCAUUCUGUGUCAUGUUGGCGCUUUCAAUUUACACACAUGAUGUUUUAGAACAAUACUUCAAAAUGGUGUAUGAUAUAUGUCUUUUUCUAACAUUUAUAGUGUUAUAUAAAGUUGGACCUAUAGCUUUAACAAACCAGGAAAACGAUCUCGAAUAAAUUAUAAUACUUGUGUGACUGCAACUCUGGAAUCUUAAGUAACAGUUGAUUACAAAGCGUUGUAAAUGAACACUUUAAAAAUCAGUAAAGAAAACUUGUUCGAUUGAAACAUUAUGAUUCUACAUUAAUGUGCUUUUUUAAUUUCGUUCAUAAUACACAUGUCAAUCAAUAUUGCCCCAUUUGCACUUAGUAGAACUUACAUGUAUUGUAUGUGCAGGUUUUACUAAAUGCAGUCUUGGAAACAAUCUUUUUUACAGUUAAGCCACAGAAAGUGGCUUACAUACACAGAGUAACAAAACAAUGCAUAUAGUAAAAAUAUAUUUUAUUGCAUCGUUAUUGCAUCAUUAUUUUUUCAUUCAAUGUGGAGCUUUUUUUUUAAUAUUAUGGAACAGUUAUAUAGAACACAAUUAUGAAAACUGCCUAACAUUUUAUGUGCAUGAUAAUACAUGUAGUUAAAGAAUAAAAUGAAAAG